GAAGGGGACGCGCAGACGUGCGUACGUGUGCGCCUGUCUUGUCUUCUUGCUUUCUCCCUUGCCUUGAGCGCACGCACGCAAGCGCCCUGCUGAUCUCUGCUUACCCAGUCACAACUCGCAGGGCGGCAUCGACGGGGGUGGAGCCUAUCGUCGUGGACGGUGGGGCAGCUGCUCGGCAGUCACUGCGCGCGCACAUCGCACACGUUUGGUCGCAGUUUUCUGAGCCCAUUCCACAAGGCUCCGCAUCCAAAACCGCCCGACGCCGCCAACGGCAUGCCACUCAUAGUGCAGCGCACGUACAAGCUGGGCGUUGGCAGCGCCACCGACGCAGACGCGCCCGCCUCGUCAACUUCGCCGUCGGUGGUGCCCAGUGCGCCGGAGGAGCAUGUGACGACACGCACAUGCCACCGCUGGAGCUACGUCGAUGCGUCGCGUCACGAGACGUGCAUUGUCACGCUGCAGGCGCACUAUUCUCUGCACGUGGAUGUCAAGGGCGAGGGCAGCACCGCCGCGACGUUAUCGCUGCAGCAGGCGGGUGGUUACCCGGAGGGGCCCAGCAGCGACGACGGGCUCUGCGGAUUCGCGUGGGAGUUCAUCUGGAUUCCAAGCCCGUGUCCGUCGUCUGAAGCAGCAGGCGCGGCGGCAGCAGUGACUUCAUCAAGCGGCGUCAUCAACGACGAGGCGGACCUGGAGGCACAGCAGCCAGCGCGAGCUCGCUUCUUUUUCCAUCGCACAACGUCACUCGCGCGGUCGACGCUGCAAGGCAUCGGCGGCGUUCUCUUCUUGAGCAGCCGGCACGUCCUGGUAGCCACGGAGACCCUGGAUGCAGCGGGCGCGGCCACAGGACCGGCAGCCACUUCGAGAGGAGCCCCAAACGAUCAGCUCCGUGAUGCCGCUCACUACAGCUUGAUGGACAGUUUUGUGCUGAGCAGCGGCGAUGCUGCUGCUGCGAGGUCUGCGUCUUGUGCGUGUUCAUGGAUUCGUGUCGCGGCGUCGGCAUCACUGCCUUGCCCGUUCGCCUCCCCACAGGCACCUCGUCAUGCCGGCACUACCUCGGCUCCCCCAUCGAGGCCUUCGACGGUGCUGCUGCUCGUCGCCGGAGUCCCACUGCGGCUUCCGCACCACACCUCUGCUGCCGCUGCGGCAGCACCACUCAUGCGCCUGGUUUACGUCUUUGCCCUCCUCGGCAGCUCGACAGGCGGCGGCAGCUCCGGCAAUGCCGAUCCGGAGCAUCGUGCGUGGGACGUGAUGGCAUGUGUGGCGGAUCUCUGUAGCAGCGGCGCCUCCGCAGACGACCCGCACUCACUGCAAGUUCGAGUACGGCACGCCGUGACGCUCCCGCUGCUUCGCUUAAGUGUGCAAAAGGUAUCAACGGAGGACGGCGUCCACCGCGGCGGCGGUGGUACCGGCUGGGCACACGCACGCGACGGCGCUGGUGGAGCGAACCGCACGCAGUCGACGUCCUCUCAGCAGCAGCAGUCGCUCGACCCGCAUGAUCUUCUUUGGGCUUUUGUGGAGGAUGAGGAUACCCGCACAGUACACCCGCUCCGUGGUGGACAGCUGUGCGGCAGCCUUGUGGCGUUGCUGCCCUGUUGUUGCGCCCCUGCCCGUACCUUAGUAGCGCCGCCCUUGCCUGCUGCGGCUUCGUCGCCGGUCGCCAACUCUGCGCCGUCGCCGCCGGCCGUCCUCUGCAUGGGCUUCAGGGGCGACACUCCGUACGGUGUGCUGGGGGUGUCCAGUGCCGAGCUGGACUCGUACGCAAAGGCGAAUCAGCAGCGGCAGCAGCAUCCAGGACGGGCCUCGCACUCAUCGGUGCAGGAGAUCAUCGAGCAGCUGUUGCCGUCACCAGAGCGUGCCGUGUACGAGCUUGCAGUAGGGGGCCUGACCAAGUGUAUUUGCCCGGCAGCCACCGUCGCAUCGCGAGCGGCACCAAUGUCCAUGACGGCGCUCCCCGCGCAUACAAGCCUCCUCAUGCUCAUCGUGGACGGCAUACACACACGCGGCAGCCGAGACAGUGCCGCGCAACAAGCGGGCGCAGCACGGGUCGUCGCGGCGCCGGCGGCCACGCUGCCUCAAGGCCUUUACCUCACGGAGACGCUGUCUUAUGAUGCCUUGGCGCAGCUGGCGAGCUCUGGAAGACCGGAGGAGGCGGUAGAGGGGCAGAAUUCGAGGGUGCGUGUCCACCACGUGCCACCCACCAGAACUCUAUGGCGCGGACUGGACCCGCUCGUGCUGUCAGUGCCGUCGGUGCCAACGAGCGCUGCGGGUAUCAUGGAUGGUGAAUGGGGCGACGAGGAUAGCACAACGCAGGGGAUGGCGCAGGCGGCCCAUCGCGACGUGCUCGCCUGGGACAUUGCUGAUGUGGGUCGCUGGAUGGAGUGGUUGUCAGAGACGGCGGGCGGUAGCGCAGAUGGCACGUACCGGAAGGAUCAUCACACAGCCCUCAUGGUGGGCGAGAGCGCUGCCGAGGCGGAGGGCACCGUCACAUCCGCCUCGCCCUCCUCCAUGGCAACAGUGACAGCGGUGGCGUCGCAUACGUGCGCAUCCUCCUCGACGGCCACCGCCGCUUCCGUUGUCCGCAGCUUCCCCUGCUUCAACGAACUCACCCACGAGCUCACGAUGCUGUGGUACUGCUGCAACGGCGCCGCGGGUCACAGUAGCGAGGAAGAGGAUCAAGCAGCCACCGAGCGGGCUGUCGCGCUUGUUCGGCCGCCCUUGUGGAAGCCGCGAACAGCAGCGAGCUCGCACCAGGAGUGGGAGGCGCAUGUGGCGGAGUGGGUGGCUGCGGAACAGGUGCGGGGACGUCUCCAUUCGUCCACCACGCCGCCAAGCGACGCCGGCGUCGCCGCCGCCACGUACCGGGCCAUGCGGAUGCUCUGGGCCUACGCUGUCCUGCAUGAGGCGAGACCGGCUUUGCCGCAGUGGCCAGGUGCGCUCAUGGAAGUGCUGCGCAGCACCGCCGCUGACGCCGCGGAGCAUCAGACGUGUCUCUACCUCUAUGCGCGCGCGGUACAGACCUUCACGGUAGCGCGCCUUGCGUCGAGCUACGGCGACGACACAGCCAAACUGGAGACGGAGGUGCGCCACAUGCGUCGAGCGGCGGCGGUCUUUCUCCGGCUGGUACUACGCACCCUCGCGGCGUUGGACUGGUGCGCAGGAGACGUGCUAGGGUGGAUGUGCUGCCAGUGGAUGGUGCGGUGGUUCCUCGGCAGUGGCGCCGGCGCUACUGCGGCAGAGGCCACACGCUCCCCGUCGCCCACCACCACCACCGCCUCCGUCGUGCAGGAACAGGCCGCUGCAGUGGAGGGGCGAGCGAUGCAAGUGCUUCUGCAGCUUGGCGCAGCGGCACGUGAGCCAGUGAGGAUCGAAGCGGCAUUCUCAUCGACGUCAUCGCCGCAGCGACCCCUGGACUGGCUACGGCGUGCGCUUCUUCUUUUCGCCUCUAGGAACAGGCAGCUGCCGCUGGAACUCACAGUCGAGGACAUCCUGGAGGCCUCAGGGGUGUUGCUGCAGCCAGAGACGGCACCGGAGGUAGCACUGGCCACUGUCGCCAGUGGUUGGAGUGAGGCGAGUGACGAGGAGGCCACCGCUGACGCGGCGCCUCCGUGGCCGACGCCCGACACAGCGGAGCUGCGCGAGUCGAUGGAGUACGCGCUGCUACGCCUGGCGAAGCCAGAGGAGCUGUAUCGCGUAGUACAUCACCUUGCACACGUCUCUCCCGCCACGUACCUGGAAAGGAGCUCCGCCUCCACGAGGACUAUACGCGGUCGAAGGCUUCGCGGGCUGCAACGGCUCGUUGUGCGCGGUGUGCUCACGGUAGCAGACCUGCACGCGCUCGUGUGUGCCGGCUGGGCAUCGGGGCGCCCUCACGACGCCGCCCCGCCUGGUGGCUUCACGUUCGUGUGCUACAUCGUAGACGUUGCCAUGAAGUUCACAUCAACGGUCUCACCGGCCACGACCGGUACCAUGAAAACUGCGGAGGCGUACGAGCGGCUUGUCAUCGCGGCACUGGAUACCUGGGGAGUACCCGGCAGCUAUGAAGACGGAGGGCAAGCGCAGGGGGCGAGUCAUGCACGGACAGAAGCGGCCGACGCUACAGAUCGGCGACCGGUCUACCCGCUGCUCAACACCCCCGAACUCGACGGCUUCGCGACCGCAGAAGCGACGACGGCGGUGCCGAUUCCGUUUCCUUUUACGCUUCUCGCGCCGCUCCUCACCGUGUACUUGUGGUACCACGUGACGCACCGUCUCUGUGCAGCGCUGCAGCUGCUUCCACCAGCGGCAUCGGAGGCCGCAGCAGGGAUACAGCCGGAGAAGACACCGGGCAUCGAUAUCGCCGACGAGCAGCAGCAUGCGCCGUGGCUGCGGCGUGCCAAACUGCGAGACGGUGCUCAUCUGCAGGCGCUUCACCGCGGCGUGUGUGUGCUGCGGUGCCUCACUCAGGAGGACGCGACCGCCACCGAGGAGCUCUUUGCCGCCAUGCGCCUCGUGUACAGCAGACCACAGCGAGAUUUCGGCCACCAGAGUGCACGCCAGCAGGGCGAGCACGCGGGAACGGCAAAGGUGAUGAAUUCAGCGGUGGCCGUGGGUGGUGAUACAGCGGUGGCGGCAGCCAGUGCCGUCGGCGGUUCGUGGGUGUCGCAGUAUCUGAUCGCCUGGCAUCAUCUUCUCCCGUUGGAGGCGCCGCCGCUGUGUUCAGCAGGUGCCCUGCUCGCCUAUCAGGAGCGCUGCUGCCACGCCGCUGCGCCCGCAGCACCGCAUAUUGGAGACGUCAUGCGCGUCUUGCACCUCGUGUACGCAAGCGCGGGCAGUGGACGUGUACUCCGCGCACAGGUCUCGCGGGCGAUGGGCUUGCAGCAGCAGGUAAGGAAGGAGGCGGCGGCAGAGGGGUAUGCUCACUCCUACGCGGCUUUCACGCGUGCUCUGCAGAGCUGGCGAACGAUCGCCCAGAAGCAGCAUCACCACAGUACUGAGAAACCGAGCGCGACUACGUCAACGAUGCGCAGCGGAGGUGUCGCCACGGGAGACGCGGUUGCCGCGUGGCUGGUGCAGAUUUGGGCCAACGUCCUGCUGUGCGACUCAGGGGCGGUCACCGAUGUUGGCAUGUACGAGCAUCUCUUCACUGCCCUGGCGCAUGCGAAGCAGCAAGGCGAGCAGCUGAGCACCACGGCCGCCGCCGCCGCCGCCGACGUGGCCUUUGCCCUGCUCAGGCCCUGCCUGCUGUACGCCCUGCCGGCUCUUGAGCAGCUCGCUGUGGAAGAGGAGCUGGAGAGCAGCAACGGCCACAGUAGCCGUACCCCAACGCCAGUCCCAUCUUACCCGCAGCACAACGAGCCGCUAACGUGGGGCGCGAGCGGCACGUCGCCGGACGGAGCAGAGGGGCCCCGUCACGGGCGUGCGCCGGAGCGGCUGUGCGCCGGCGAAGUGUGUGAGCGCGUGCGUCGGCAGCUGCGGCGCCUCGUCGACCUGUACGGCGUGCCUCCAUCAGCCUCGCCGGGCACCUCCCCCGCGCGGUGCGGCGAUGUUCGCUUCAGUACCUUGGCGCAGCUGAUGGCGUUGCAGCCGACGGCGUGGAACCUGGCAGCAGCGCAGCGGCGCGUCGCGCUGCGCAGCGUAAAACAAAGCGCGGCUCAACGCGGCGCGGAUGGGGACGAGGAGCCUGGACAGCCAUCAGCGUCGAGGUCACUCGCCGCCUCCACCGGCCGCAGUCCCAGAGACAGCAGCAGUAGCAGCAGCAGCAGCGCCGCUUCCUUCGGCGACGGCAACGAAUCGACGCUGGAGCUGCGCACCUUUUUUCUCUCCCCUGCAGCCACGUACGUUGCAGCCGCGGCAGCCGUCGCCAUGCGCCACACCACGAGUUACACGAGUGCUGGACAGGAUGAAGGCAGCCGUAAUUUCCCGCUGUGGCAGUCGCCGUCCGCUGCGCCGCCGCUGCCCGUUGGCUGGCUACUCGUGGCGUGCGAAGUCCUUCGCCGCGAGUUGCGCUGCUACAUCCUGGCAGAGCUUCGGAUGAGCGGCUACGUAGAGGAGUCAGCGGCUAUGCACGCAGCAGAGGCGGGCAUCGAGGACACUCCAGGUUGUACUGCUGCCGAGGCGGCCCCGCACCUCCCCCGUCCUCCGAUGCCGUGCUGGCGCCUCGUCACCUCCGAGGCGCAACUGAAGGCCUUUAUCAACGCGCUGGCAGACGCUGUGGAGCCGCUCACCGGUGCUUUUGUGCGGGCGAUGUCCUUCGCAGCCCUCCAACCGCUCGUGCUGCUGCUCGUCCUCGACGUCCUUCACGUGCUUCUGUACAACAACGCGCACACGCACGGCGUGGAGGACGCGGCGGACGGAACGACACAGCGCGGCCCAGCCGCCAAGCAAACAACGACCUCCGCGGUCAUGUGUGCAGAUGCCUCCAUCCUGCGCCUUCUUCGGCAGUGGAUCCGCGGCGUCGCGGCGCCGCUCUACCAAAACAUGGAGGAUUCUGGAAAAAAGGCGGUGUUGGAAAUCAUCACGGACAGCUUCGCGCGCGAGUACCUGACGGCGCCCCGCGGCGAGGGGGCGACACCUUCGCCGGGCAGCACCGCCCCAGUGUCAAGGAGUUACCUCGAGUCCGAUGUGCAUGUUGGAUGGCGUCAGUGGCGUAAAGAGGCCGCGGCACGCAACGUGAACGGGAAAGGGGUUGUGAUGCUCGAGUGUCUAAGUGCGUGCGUGGCGGCGGACCACCAGCAGCUGGUGCGCAUGGCUCUGCCGACGCCGAGUGACGACGAAGCACCACAACAGGCAGUUUAUGCGGUGCAGCCGACCGGUCCCGGCGCGAAGGUCGCCGGUAGCAGCGCUGCGGAUGCAGCAGCGGUCAUCGGAUCUACCUGGUUAGACGUCGGAAGUGCUCUGCGCGCCUCCCUCUUCAGCACCCUUGGCGCGAGCGUGGCCCCUCGCGCUGCGCAUCAGCGCCAGCAGCAACGUGCACAGACAUCCUCGCUCGUGGUGUCUCUUUCGCGCGGGGAAGCGCGGCCCGCCUCAGCAUCAGCGGCCGAAGCCCCACUGCCUUUCCCCACGCCCCAGCCGCUAGCAGCACCAACGAUAAUCUCUGGCGACGGCGGCAGCAGCAGAACCCUUGGCUUGGCGGUAGGCGGCACAGAUGAGCUGCACCUUCUCCGCAAAGAGGAGGCCUUCAAGCGACGCCAGUGUAGUGAGCAGCUCCUGCAUGAGCAGAAGCUGCUCUUCGCCUCUCCCGCCUUUCAGGGCAGUCUUCUCCAGCUGUAUGUGGCACUGCGGGCCGAAAAGCGUCGGAAGGAGCUGGUGGCCUUUGCGCUCGAUCAGCACGACCUCAUAUUUGCGCUGGCCCAUCGAGAGCAGCAGCUUCGCCUCGAUGAGGCGCGCGAGGCGCUGCGCCGCUCCUGGUGUGAGUGGGGAGAGCGGCAGCGGCUGGCGGUACGGCGGCUGCUGCAGGAGGAGCGUGACGCUCGUAUGGGGGUGCAGGCCAUCGGCUACGCUGCCUGGUCUCUCCUGCUCGAUGCGGAGCGGCAAGAGCGGUGUGUGCGGGUCCUGUACGAGGAGGGCCGUGCCGGCGUCAUGGCGCUCGAGGAUGACGCGCGAGAUGAGCUAGCGGUGGCUGCGGCUCGCGCGCACCUGGAGCUUACGAAGCUUGCCGCGGAGGCCGAGGAAGAAGCGUACUGGCAAGCAGAAGAGGCGGCCUGGGCACGCAUGCAAGAGGAAGAGCAGCAGGAGACAAGCAGGCACCAAAACCAAUCGCUGCCCGCGGUGCAGAGGCAGGGGAGCCGCAUGUCGUCCCUCUCGUGUGCAUCGUCAUCCUCCUCGGUAGACUCGCCGUUGAAGCCGUCGGCGGAUCCCCCCACCGCAGCCGCGGCAGUGGCGCACCCAAGAGUCGUCCGUGGGGGCGGCGCACGAGUCGUCGGUGAGGACAGCGGUCCUGCAGCGCGGAAGCACGUUCGGCGAGGCGGUCGCAAAGAGCGGGGCGGCGGCGCUGCUGCCGUGGUUGCCCUCCGCUCCCCACGCAGCGCUGUUGGCCUGCGAGAGGCAGGCGAUGCAGUCGCACCAACGCCGGCGAGGGCGGGAGCCACGGCAAUCACGUCAGUAGCGGCAGAGCAACACCAGCAGCAGGUGCCACCCCACAGUGCUUCGCUGGCGGCCCACUCGACGCACUCAGAGGACGAGGAAAACGUGGUACCGGGUUGGGGCGGCGGCCUGGCACAGGCCGCAGUGCAGUCGGCCAUUAGCGGCGCCGGCGGUUUCUUCAGCACCCUUUCGCACUGGCAAACGGCGCUGCGCGACACUGUCGCCCCUCCUCCGCCCGCAUGCGGCAGGGGAAGGGCUGCGGACAGGCAAGCAGCGGUGUCAGACGCACCUAGAGGCAGCACAGCUGGGCAGCUGUCAGUCGUUGCCGGCAUUGCCAAGGAAGCUGCUCCACCAGCACCCGUCGUCGUGCCGGACCCGGCGAGGAGCCGUGCGGCGCAAGCCGACGACUGGGGCUGGAGUUCCAACUCGGAUAAGGACAUAUCACCCGUCGAGGUUAAACCUCCUGAGUCGAAGGCUGAGGAAAACGAGUCGUGCGCCGCUACGACGGUGCCUCUGCCCUCCCGCAGCAUCGCACCUCUACGGAAAGCCUCUGCUAGCGGUGAGAUGUCGGUGGCGGCGGCACGAGCUCCGAAAGAACGUCCUCAGCAGGACGCCACAGCAGCGGCUGCGGCAGCAAGGCGGCCUCGAAAGAAGAAGGGGUUCGCCGCCGCUGCCGUUCUCGUCGAGCCUGUCUCCUCCGCCUCCGCUCACGUCGCACCGCUAGCGUCAUCUCUACUGCUGCCGCCGCAGCAGUCGGUGAAGCAGCUCCGUGGACAGCAGCAGCAGCGCCAUGCCUCCUCCCCGGACGACCCGGCCGCGCCGAACCCAGUGCGCAACAUCCUCUCGGCAAUCGAAGCGGCAGCCACGGAGAUGAUUUCAGAGCCCAAAGGAGCGCCGUCACCUGCAACACGGCCGGAACACGCACCACCGCGAUCACAACCGCAAGGCUUUCCAUCGUUGCGUGCCGCGCGCACUGGCUGGAGUGAGUCGUCAUCCGCAAGCAGCAGCAGCAGCAGUAGCCGUCACGGCGUCCCCUCUCCAUUGGGCGAGCCAGGCACACUUCCUUUAACAGCCACCGCGGCGCUAGACACAAAUGAAGGCGUCAAGGUGCGGGUGGGGAUAGAGGCGAAGCCCGACUCCGCUGCCGUGAAUGACAGGGAGGACUGGGGAUGGCGCGAUGACGAUGACGAUGCGGAAACGGGGCCCGGAGCUCGCAUCCACAGCGUGCAACCUGCGGUGGGAGUCGGCAGAGCAGCAGCAGCAGCAGCAGCAGACACAGUUCAUGAAGCAUCUUCGCCGCCACCGAUGGCGGGGGUGAAAGGCGAUGGAUGGGGGUGGAGCAACGAUGGCGUUCACGUGGGCGUAGCCGCAGAGGAGACACGCGAACCGUCCCCGCCUCCACGCACGGGCGGCGGCGUCAUUGCGACGGCCGCAGCAGCGCCGCCACCGUCCACACCUCUCUCCGACGUUGCCAAAAAUGUUGCCAAGGACGGGUGGUCGGGUGACGACGACCCUUUCGGCAGCGGCGUUGCCGUCGCGGCGGGCGGCAUAGGACUGAGUGGGGCACCGUCAGCCCUUUCGGGCUCCGCUGCAGAACCCACGACGAGAUUCACGAUGCUCGCAGACUUGCAGGAGAUGUACGCGGCGGAGAUGGAGAUGCGUGCACAGUUGGUGCAGCUCCUGUGAGGAUGUGCAGCCGCAACAACUGCGGCUGAGAAGCGACGAGAGGAGGCGGAGGAGGAGAGGAGGAGAGGAGGGGAGCUGGUGAGAGUCUACGUGAGAGAAGUGGCGGAGGACGCGAUGGCGGGUGGUGGAUACAAGAGCAGUCAUUUCGUUGGCGGUGAGGCUACCUUGAUGUACGUGUGCGUGUGUCUGUGCUCUCCUCUGCACAUGCACAUACACCUUCACUCACUGCCACCACGCCGGUGCCUCUAUCUCUUCUCCUUGCCGCAGUGGCCGCAGCGGAGGAGUUGGCAGAGUCAGAGUGGAGGCGAGACGCGUGAGGCGGUGAAACGGCAGAGGCGGGCGGUGGUCGCCCACCCACCCUCGAGAAAGCGACGGUGGGGAGAGGACGUGGAGAGAGAGAGAGGGGAGGAUUAUCCAUCAGAGGCUGGCGGACGGGAAGAAGACACACACACACACGCGCACACACACAAAGCCGAAAAAGUGAUUUCAUCGGAAGCACGGGAGAAGGUCAAGAGUGUGGCUGCGCUCUGUAGCGGUGGCGGUGCUCACCGCACCCCCGCCCCGCCCCGCAGACUCCGACGCUGCGCUUCACUCCGUCCUUCCGGCCCCCACUCAAGCACGGCGAAUGAGGGCAGCCAAAACAAAAAGCAAGCAAACGCAUGUCCAAAGUACGCCGCCGUGGCCUCCCCCCCCCCCAUCAGCCCUUUCUUCCUCUUUGUGGUUUCGGUGUACAUGGACACAG
rnacentral:misc_RNA from 1 species